UUUAAAGUGUAAUGUAAGUCGCUUUGGAUAAAAGCGUCUGCUAAAUUACCUGUA
rfam:Gasterosteus aculeatus cont1.001252, whole genome shotgun sequence.